CUAACUGCCUGCAUGAAGUUAUAAGUUGAAGUUUUUAUGAUUUACUAAAUAUGUGACAUAUUUUUUCAUUGCAAUUACACUAAAUCUUACAUAUGAAUAUGCAUAAAUUUUGUCUUUCCUAAAAAUUAUAUUUUACACACUUUGAAAGUGCAUUUGGGAUCUCUACACGACAACUCAAGAAAGACAACUCCCCACAAUGUACUCUAAAAUGGAGUUAACUGGUACGUGUCAUAUCGAAUAUAUACCUCAUAUUUUCUUGUUUCUGUUUUAAUCUGAUUGAUAUAUGUAUAUCAUAUCUAUAUUUGUGUGAAUUCAAAUUUUAUUAAAAAGUUUCCAAAAAUUUUCCCAGCUGCAUGCUUUCUUUCUCCUCAAAAAGACUCCGAGAGAAUCUACGAAAACCAAAGGGAAUUAUGGGACUGAAAUCGUGUGACAGUGACGGGGAUAUCUGACAAUCACUCUCUCACAUACACACAAUCUAUAAAUACAUAUAAAUAUACGUGAUACAGCACUAAAACACACAACAUCAAAAAUCUUUAAUAUCACAAAUCACGAUGACUAAUAAUGGAAAAAUGCCCCGUCUGUCUAAUGUAGGCUUGGCAUUCAAUAAAUAUCCUGUACCGAGAUUUCAUAAAUACAACACUUACCCAAAGGUAGAACAAAUGUCAGGUGACAAUACGUGAUCCUGUAUAUAUACAAUGAUCUAUAUAUGACAUAGGUGAAAAUUCAGUGAAAGUAUGACAAUAUUAUCUGAAAUGAAUAGAACUAGAUGGAGUUUUGUAGACCUAAAUAUAAUUAAAUUCUACAAAUCAAUGAAAUCCUGAGAAAGGUAUUGGAAGAUACAUAUAUUUCUAAUUGAAAUCAAUUUCACAAAAUAAGCAAAGUUGUUUAAAUAAGGCAAUGAAAGUAAAUUUCAUAACAACCGAAAAAAUGAGUAAAAAGCACUUAUUUUGAGAAGCAAGGGACAUAACUCUGUGAGGUCUACGGUCCGUUGCCAAACAUCAGCAUUUGAAUCAGAAUUUUAUGUUCAGAGGAGAAUACAACAUGACAAUAAAUAUGGAUAAAUUCUGAGAUCAUAAGUUGUAAAUGGAUUUCUUUACAAUCAGCUUCAUCAACAUCACAUCUAUAUAUAUAUAUAUGGGAAAACUCAUAAUUAAUUUGCAUAUAUCUAUACUUAAGUACAUUAUUUUAAUAAUAAAUUUUGGUUUUCUGUUAAUAUUUCAAAUAAAUAUUUUAAGCCUCUGCUAAAAGUCCUGAAUGCAUAAUUUUCAAUAUAUUUGGCAUGCAACAUUGAUUUUUAGAGUAAUUCUUUGUUCAACCCUUAUUACUGGGAUGCUGAGGAAAUAGUGGUUUUAAAAUGCCCGAAUACAAAAACAUUAUAUAGCAAAUCUAUUUGGUGUACGUGUUACAACCAAUGGAACUACAGGUCAAACAUACGCUGCAUGACCCGACUACAGGUCAAACAUACGCUGCAUGACCCGACUACAGGUCAAACAUACGCUGCAUGACCCGACUACAGGUCAAACAUACGCUGCAUGACCUGACUACAGGUCAAACAUACGCUGCAUGACCUGACUACUACAGGUCAAACAUACGCUUCAUGACCCGACUACAGGUCAAACAUACGCUGCAUGACCCGACUACAGGUCAAACAUACGCUGCAUGACCCGACUACAGGUCAAACAUACGCUGCAUGACCCGACUACAGGUCAAACAUACGCUGCAUGACCCGACUACAGGUCAAACAUACGCUGCAUGACCCGACUACAGGUCAAACAUACGCUGCAUGACCUGACUACAGGUCAAACAUACGCUGCAUGACCCAAUUACUACAGGUCAAACAUACGCUGCAUGACCCGACUACAGGUCAAACAUACGCUGCAUGACCCGACUACAGGUCAAACAUACGCUGCAUGACCUGACUACAGGUCAAACAUAUGCUGCAUCAGCUCUGUUUUUGCCUAUCUGGUGUGUUACUCCCAAUGAGACUGUAGGUCAAACAAUAUGCUGCAAAACCUCUGUUUUUUCCAAGAAAACAGGACUUGUUGUGAUUGAUGACUAAAAUGGCACAAAAACUGGCAUC